rnacentral:rRNA from 1 species
GACGAACGCUGGCGGCGUGCUUAACACAUGCAAGUCGAACGGAAAGGCCCUGCUUUUGUGGGGUGCUCGAGUGGCGAACGGGUGAGUAACACGUGAGUAACCUGCCCUUGACUUUGGGAUAACUUCAGGAAACUGGGGCUAAUACCGGAUAGGAGCUCCUGCUGCAUGGUGGGGGUUGGAAAGUUUCGGCGGUUGGGGAUGGACUCGCGGCUUAUCAGCUUGUUGGUGGGGUAGUGGCUUACCAAGGCUUUGACGGGUAGCCGGCCUGGGAGGGUGACCGGCGUCCAUAGGCCUACGGUACGCACCAGACUGGUACAGGAGGCAAUGGUGGCGAGUCUUGCACAGUGAGAGCGCGUCUGAUGAAGAGGCGUUGCGGUCGGGAUGCCGGCCUGUGGGUUGAGAAAAGCUUCAGCCUGUGACGACGCGUGAGUGACGGUAAUGAGUAAAGAAGCACCGGCUAACUACGUG